AUUGAACUGGCAAGCCUUAGGGUGAAGAUAUUUCUUUCAUAAUUUGGGGCAACACUUCUUCGAACAAGGAAAGACCAACAGGAAAAGUUUGUGAAAUUCUUUUGACAGAAAACAUGCAGUACACUCUCCAUGCCCAAGUUUCCAGGUGAGCAUUGAGCUGUCAUGUUGUCUGGCCUGGCAAAAACUGGGGACCAUUUGAGUAUUGAGGUGGCCACUUCUGAUCCUCCGCUAGUGAGCAUUACCAAGCAGUGACUUGUACGUUCAUGCGGACUUUUAAUACUUGUUUUCAUCAGGUGGAACUUUUCGUUGGUUCUUUGAUUAGCUUUUGAUGACUCAUCGUCAAUCCGUCAUGAAAUGGGCAUGGUAACAGAGGGAUUUAAUUCAGCUUUGACAACCACAGCACUCCACUUUAACUCAAUUUUACCAGGCAAAAUGUAGAGAACCUCUUCAAUGGAUCAUGGAUGAUUAAGGUUUUUCGACGAGUUAAACAUUUUUUGCUGCACCUGGCCUGUUUGUUUUAUUUGUAAGUCUUGGUUUUCAAAUAAAAUAAUUUUGCAACUCA